rnacentral:rRNA from 1 species
GACGAACGCUGGCGGCGUGCUUAACACAUGCAAGUCGAACGGAAAGGCCCUGCUUUUGUGGGGUGCUCGAGUGGCGAACGGGUGAGUAACACGUGAGUAACCUGCCCUUGACUUUGGGAUAACUUCAGGAAACUGGGGCUAAUACCGGAUAGGAGCUCCUGCUGCAUGGUGGGGGUUGGAAAGUUUCGGCGGUUGGGGAUGGACUCGCGGCUUAUCAGCUUGUUGGUGGGGUAGUGGCUUACCAAGGCUUUGACGGGUAGCCGGCCUGAGAGGGUGACCGGCCACAUUGGGACUGAGAUACGGCGCAGACUCCUACGGGAGGCAGCAGUGGGGAGUAUUGCACAAUGGGCGGAAGCCUGAUGCAGCAACGCCGCGUGCGGGAUGACGGCCUUCGGGCUGUAAACCGCUUUCGCCUGUGACGAAGCGUGAGUGACGGUAAUGGGUAAAGAAGCACCGGCUAACUACGUG